rnacentral:rRNA from 1 species
GUCUGAUGGAGCAUACCAUGUGAACGAUGAAGGCCUUUUUGGUUGUAAAGUUCUUUUACGAGGGAUAAUUAUGAUAGUACUUCGUGAAUAAGUGACAGCAAACUAUGUGCCAGCAGCUGCGGUAAUACAUAGGUCGCGAGCAUUAUUCGGAUUUAUUGGGCGUAAAGCAAGCGCAGGCGGAUGUGUAAGUUCUGUGUUAAAUGCAGCUACUCAAUAGUUGUAUGCACCGAAUACUACAUGUCUAGAUUGUGGUAGGGAGUUUCGGAAUUAAGCAUGGAGCGGUGGAAUGUGUAGAUAUGCUUAAGAACACCAGAGGCGAAGGCGGAAACUUAGGCCAUAAAUGACGCUUAGGCUUGAAAGUGUGGGGAGCAAAUGGGAUUAGAUACCCCAGUAGUCCACACCGUAAACGAUGGGUAUUAGAUAUUAGGGCUUUAGCUUUAGUGUUGUAGCUUACGCGUUAAAUACCCCGCCUGGGUAGUACAUAUGCAAAUAUGAAACUCAAAGGAAUUGACGGGGACCUGAACAAGUGGUGGAGCAUGUUGCUUAAUUCGAUAAUACACGAAAAACCUUACCAAGGUUUGACAUCCCUCGCAAAGCUAUAGAAAUAUAGUGGAGGUUAUCGAGGUGACAGGUGGUGCAUGGCUGUCGUCAGCUCGUGUCUUGAGAUGUUUGGUUAAGUCCCGCAACGAGCGCAACCCCACUCUUUAGUUACUUUUCUAAAGAGACUGCACAGUAAUGUAGAGGAAGGAUGGGAUCACGUCAAGUCAUCAUGCCCCUUAUGCCUUGGGCUGCAAACGUGCUACAAUGGCGAACACAAUGUGUUGCAAACCAGCGAUGGUAAGCUAAUCACCAAAUUUCGUCUCAGUUCGGAUAGGAGGCUGCAAUUCGCCUCCUUGAAGUUGGAAUCACUAGUAAUCCCGUGUCAG